UACGAAGGGGGCUAGCGUUGCUCGGAAUCACUGGGCGUAAAGCGCACGUAGGCGGAUUGUUAAGUCAGGGGUGAAAUCCUGGAGCUCAACUCCAGAACUGCCUUUGAUACUGGCGAUCUUGAGUCCGGGAGAGGUGAGUGGAACUGCGAGUGUAGAGGUGAAAUUCGUAGAUAUUCGCAAGAACACCAGUGGCGAAGGCGGCUCACUGGCCCGAUACUGACGCUGAGGUGCGAAAGCGUGGGGAGCAAACAGG
rnacentral:rRNA from 1 species